UGGGGAAUUUUGGACAAUGGGCGCAAGCCUGAUCCAGCAAUGCCGCGUGAGUGAAGAAGGCCUUCGGGUUGUAAAGCUCUUUUGUCAGGGAAGAAACGGUUGGGGCUAAUAUCCCCGGCUAAUGACGGUACCUGAAGAAUAAGCACCGGCUAACUACGUGCCAGCAGCCGCGGUAAUACGUAGGGUGCGAGSGUUAAUCGGAAUUACUGGGCGUAAAGCGUGSGCAGGCGGUUUUGUAAGUCUGACGUGAAAUCCCCGGGCUCAACCUGGGAAUUGCGUUGGAGACUGCAAGGCUGGAGUCUGGCAGAGGGGGGUAGAAUUCCACGUGUAGCAGUGAAAUGCGUAGAGAUGUGGAGGAACACCGAUGGCGAAGGCAGCCCCCUGGGUCAAGACUGACGCUCAUGCACGAAAGCGUGGGGAGCAAACAGGAUUSGAUACCCUGGUAGUCCACGCCCUAAACGAUGUCUACUAGUUGUCGGGUUUUAAUUAACUUGGUAACGCAGCUAACGCGUGAAGUAGACCGCCUGGGGAGUACGGUCGCAAGAUUAAAACUCAAAGGAAUUGACGGGGACCCGCACAAGCGGUGGAUGAUGUGGAUUAAUUCGAUGC
rnacentral:rRNA from 1 species